GCGGCGGACGGGUGAGUAACGCGUGGGUAACCUACCCUGUACACACGGAUAACAUACCGAAAGGUAUGCUAAUACGGGAUAAUAUAUUUGAGAGGCAUCUCUUGAAUAUCAAAGGUGAGCCAGUACAGGAUGGACCCGCGUCUGAUUAGCUAGUUGGUAAGGUAACGGCUUACCAAGGCGACGAUCAGUAGCCGGCCUGAGAGGGUGAACGGCCACAUUGGGACUGAGACACGGCCCAAACUCCUACGGGAGGCAGCAUG
rnacentral:rRNA from 1 species